UACGUAGGGUGCAAGCGUUGUCCGGAAUUAUUGGGCGUAAAGAGCUCGUAGGCGGCCUGUCGCGUCGGAUGUGAAAGCCCGGGGCUUAACCCCGGGUCUGCAUUCGAUACGGGCAGGCUAGAGUGUGGUAGGGGAGAUCGGAAUUCCUGGUGUAGCGGUGAAAUGCGCAGAUAUCAGGAGGAACACCGGUGGCGAAGGCUGAUCUCUGGGCCAUUACUGACGCUGAGGAGCGAAAGCGUGGGGAGCGAACAGG
rnacentral:rRNA from 1 species